ACGGGAGGCAGCAGUGGGGAAUUUUCCGCAAUGGGCGAAAGCCUGACGGAGCAAGACCGCGUGAGGGAGGAAGGCUCUUGGGUUGUAAACCUCUUUUCUCAGGGAAGAAGCUCUGACGGUACCUGAGGAAUCAGCCUCGGCUAACUCCGUGCCAGCAGCCGCGGUAAUACGGAGGAGGCAAGCGUUAUCCGGAAUUAUUGGGCGUAAAGCGUCCGCAGGUGGCGAUUCAAGUCUGCUGUCAAAGCACGGGGCUUAACUCCGUUAAGGCAGUGGAAACUGAAUAGCUAGAGUGCCGUAGGGGUAGAGGGAAUUCCCGGUGUAGCGGUGAAAUGCGUAGAGAUCGGGAAGAACAUCGGUGGCGAAAGCGCUCUACUGGACGGCAACUGACACUUAGGGACGAAAGCUAGGGGAGCGAAUGGGAUUAGAUACCCAGUAGUCCUAGCUGUAAACGAUGGAUACUAGGUGUAGCUUGUAUCGACCCGAGCUGUGCCGAAGCUAACGCGUUAAGUAUCCCGCCUGGGGAGUACGCACGCAAGUGUGAAACUCAAAGGAAUUGACGGGGGCCCGCACAAGCGGUGGAGUAUGUGGUUUAAUUCGAUGCAACGCGAAGAACCUUACCAGGGCUUGACAUGUCCGGAAUCCCGGUGAAAGCUGGGAGUGCCUUCGGGAGCCGGAACACAGGUGGUGCAUGGCUGUCGUCAGCUCGUGCCGUGAGAUGUUGGGUUAAGUCCCGCAACGAGCGCAACCCUCGUCUUUAGUUGCCAGCAUUAAGUUGGGCACUCUAGAGAGACUGCCGGUGACAAACCGGAGGAAGGUGGGGAUGACGUCAAGUCAGCAUGCCCCUUACGCUCUGGGCGACACACGUACUACAAUGGUCGGGACAGAGGGCGGCGAACCUGCGAAGGCAAGCUAAUCCCAGCAAACUCGGCCUCAGUUCAGAUCGCAGGCUGCAACUCGCCUGCGUGAAGGAGGAAUCGCUAGUAAUCGCCGGUCAGAAUACGGCGGUGAAUCCGUUCCCGGGCAUUGUACACACCGCCCGUCACACCAUGGAAGCUGGCCACGCCCGAAGUCGUUACCCUAACCUUUCGGGGAAGGGGA
rnacentral:rRNA from 1 species